GUGCUCACUUCAGCAGCAUAUAUACUAAAAAUUGGAAUGAUACAGAGAAGAUUAUCAUGGCCCUGAGCAUGGAUGACCACACAAAUUAGUGAAGUGUUCCAUAUUUUA
ensembl:snRNA U6 U6 spliceosomal RNA